rnacentral:rRNA from 1 species
CUUCGGGAGCGCGAACACAGGUGCUGCAUGGUUGUCGUCAGCUCGUGCCGUGAGGUGUCGGCUUAAGUGCCAUAACGAGCGCAACCCUCGUGGUCAGUUACUAACAGGUUAAGCUGAGGACUCUGGCCAGACUGCCAUCGUAAGAUGUGAGGAAGGUGGGGAUGACGUCAAAUCAGCACGGCCCUUACGUCCGGGGCUACACACGUGUUACAAUGGGAGGUACAGAAGGCAGCUACCCGGCGACGGGAUGCCAAUCCCCAAAACCUCUCUCAGUUCGGACUGGAGUCUGCAACCCGACUCCACGAAGCUGGAUUCGCUAGUAAUCGCGGUCGACGCGGCCG